AUGUGCAAUGGGCUCUUCAAGAGGCCUGUGCAUAGGGUUGUGACAAAUGCAAAGAACGAGAGGCUAUCGGUGACUCUAGGCUACUCUGUUGACCACAAGAGAGAAAUGGAGCCAUUGCCUCAGCCGAUUAAUGAGAAGAGACCACCAUUGUACAGGAAAGUUAAGGUGAAGGACUAUAUUACCGGGCUCUAUGAACAUUUCUCUCAAGGGACAAUGGUUAUUGAUACACGGCAGAUAUAA
rnacentral:rRNA from 1 species